UCUGGUGACUAUGGCGAAGAGGUCACACCCGUUCCCAUGCCGAACACGGAAGUUAAGCUCUUCAGCGCCGAUGGUAGUUGGGGGAU
rnacentral:rRNA from 1 species